UUUAUAUAAGUGGAACAUUUUCUUGAAUUUAUAGUAAAAUUACUCGUUAACGUUAUGCAGUUCCGCACUGUAGUGGAGUGUUUUUUAAAACCUUGGCUAAAAGCACUAUGUCGUUCGAAGUUUGCGCUGACACAAUAUUCUAGUUGUGGAACAUCAACGCAAACAUUUGAAUAAAGUUGCAGUUCCAUCUGUAUCUUCUUGGUAUAAAAAAAAUUGACGAAACAAGCAGGAGAUAGAUAAAUGAGAUUGCUAACUCCAAUGUCCGGAAACAUUUACUUCAAGGCCAGCCAUCAGUUUCCUCUCUGAAUGAAGAAAAUAUUCUACCUAUUAGUGAAAAAAGACAUUUAUCAUAAGGACGAAAUAAAUACAAUGUCAACUAAAUUAACCCAAACAUGUGUUUUCUACUAAAAUAUUGCUGUGUUGUGGAUCAUAUGCCAUAGUAGUAUAGUAGUGUACCAUUUCAUUAAAAAAUACACUAUUUUGACUCAUGAUAUGAAAUAUUGUUGCAGUAAGGUACUUGGCUUUUCAAUAGAAGGUCGCGAAAUAAAACUCAUCUCAGAGCUAGUCAGAUUUGUGCUUUUAGAAUCUUAAAUGUUUUUUCAAAUAUUUGAUGUUAUGUUAUUUCAGGGAAUGUAUUAUGAAUUAAAGAAAAUAAUAACAA